GUUUAAGAUAGAAACUAAAGUCAAGUAACAUAGAAACACUGAAUACAAGGGUAACAAGAAUCUGUCAGAAAGGUAACAAAUCAUCCUUUUAGCAAAGAGAAAUCAGAGAAACCUAAAACCGGGAAGAAGAUUGAUCAGGAGCCAUCCAGAUUGCCUUUCUCUCUUGGAGCCUUGAUGUUCUAUACCAAAACCAAAAACAUGUUUCGCUUAAGAAAGGGAAAAAAAAAAGGACCGGCUUGUGUAAUAAGGAAUUUAAAAAAUAGGAAAAAGACAGAAGCCCUGUAGAAAGCGCGUGAAGAACGAUCAACCCAAAACAGCCAUCAUGGAACAAAGCAAGCAUCUCUCACAGCCAUCAUUGCUUCUCUCUUAGAGCCUCCAUGUUCUAUAUCAUGGAACGAAAUAACAUGGUUUUGCUUUAAGACAGGACCGCCUUGUGUUAUAAGAUUAUUUUGAAAAAAAAAAAAGGAAAAAGAGAGAAGCCUUGCUAAACCGCCAAAAAAAGAAAACGCAGACGACAAGUAGAUCACAUGGAACAAAAAGGUCCACCGAUGAAAUCUAGAAACCAAACCUAUCCAAAUUAGGUGAAAACUCCAAAAAGCUCCAACGAUGAUCGCAACAUAAAAACGUAAGGAACAAAAGAAAUUAGAGAAACCCCUGAAGACUAACGCACGCGUGGCAAGAGAAUCACGAAACACGAAACUCCAUAAUGAAUACCACCAAGUACAAGUCAAACAGAACUGCCCUUGCACCAUCCAAAUUCCUAUACAGAAAUGAGAUCAGAGGAAAGAGAAGCCAUCAUCUCAAACAGAAGCAUGUAUAGAAGAACAAGAUCAGAAAGGGAAAAGAAGAACAAACGUUUACAAAGUUGUGGUCUAAAAAGUUGAGGGCUUACUUUAGUAAGGCAAAAGAUCCGUAAGAUAUUACACGCAUGCUACUGUAAAAGGCCGGUAGAAUAGUUGAAAACAAUUAGCAACUAGUGUGCAGUUUUGGGAAAACAAAUCGAGCCAGAAAGGAGUAGUAAUAAGAACAAACCCAUUCACAAAUAACCAUCUUCCAUCUAAAUGGGUGUAUACUCAGUAGAAUAUCUGGAACACGCAAUAAACACACAAAAGAGACAUCAUCUAUCUUCCCAACAAAAUCCAUUCAUUGGGUAGGGUGAAGUGGUUGAUGAGUUGAAAAUCUGGGAACACACAAUCUUAGAAACCACAAGAUAUGGUAACCACCUCUAGAAAAGUACAUUUAGAGAAUCAAGACACGAAGUUUCUGACCUUCAUAGUUCACGACACCUGAAUCCAUAAAACACUAGAAGCUCCACAUUCAUCCUUGACAAGACAACGCACAAAGCUUGAAACACGCCUGGAUGUACUGAUAGAGGAGACUAGACAAACAGGUAGAAACUAACAGACUAGACUACUUAAUAGACAAAUAGAAAAAAGAAGAGCAAACCCUUAUGUUAUGAUCAAGAUUUCAUCUGAAUGUCUGUAGGGUAAAUUGAUUUGUGAAACCAGAUCUGGAAACACAAAGAAGACAAAUAAAAACUUCCCACAAUAACCAACACUAAAUAAAAAUAACCAGUAGGAAAGAAGGGUGUAACCAAGAACUCCAAACCAUCAAUCCCUUCCACAAAUCGAUUUCUUUCUCGUUGAGUAACAUAGUAUGAUCCUUCAUAUAUACUGAGAAAGAGAGAGCAAUUCACGGAAAGAAAAUAAAUAUAGCACGAGAAAACAGAGAAACCUAAACCGAGGAAAGAAGAUUGAUCAUGAUCCUCAGAGACAUCCCAUUGCUCCUCCAUGUUCUCUACCAAAACGAAGGAAAACAUGUUUCGCUUAAGGUAGUAAAGACAAACCAGCUAGUGUAAAAAAGAAAUCAAAAAUAGUAAAAAGUAACAAGAGAGAAGCCCUGAUAAACUGCCAACGCGCUGGAACAAACCAAAACAGCCAUCACGGGCAAAGCAAGCAUCCUCCACAAGCUAAAACAACAAAACGAGAGUAGAUCACGUGUAACAAAAAAGGCCACGGAUGCAAUCUAGAAGAAACCAAACCUCGGAAAUAGAUGAGAGAAAGACCCCUGAAGACGUAGCGUAGAGAAACACCGAUCAAUCAGAACAUCUUCCACAAGAAAAGCUAACCGAUGGAAUCUCGAAACUGAACGCUUGAAUAAACAAACAAUCCGUGAAAAGUGAACAAACUGGCGUAGGAACGUUGAUCUGUCCAAGAGAUCGUUUUAAGACUGUCAAAGAUCACUGUCCAAAACAAAACGUUUCCAUAUAUAAAAAGGAGCAGCAAAAACUCAGAAGAACCUUAAUGUUGAUGUCGGGGAGAAAGUAGACCACCCCCAGAGACAAAAAUAGUCAUGUGUGAAAUAAGAAAAUAAGGAUAGAAAGAAAGAAUGCAUAACCAUUAAUUGUUAACCGAUCUAGCCAUCAAACAGCUGGGAGAUAACCAUCAAACAUCAUUCACGGAUCAACAGAGGCGUAACAACAACCAUGUGGAAGCCUGAAACAGCCCUGGAUGUACUGAUACAGGAGACUAUGCACGAACAGGUCGAAACAGAGUCAUCCAAAAUAAACUGAAUUCAAAGAGAAAGGAGAGGCUACCAUCUUGAGCAGAAGUGAUUUGCAUUCAGUCCAUAGAAUAGAUGCACAGACUGUAAAAUCAAAAAAGGGCAAAGAGAUAAGGACGAAGGAAACUUGAUCGCAUCUUUAUAGUAACCAAAAAGAGGGAAAAGUCAUAGAGAAGACUGUAUAGAUCAAGAGCCAUCCAACGAAGCAAGUAAAUCAAAACGGGAAAGAAGGUAGAUCAGAGCCACCGCCAUUGCUUUUCUCUCUUGGAGCCUCCAUGUUCUAAAUCAAAACGAGAAAACAUGCUUCGGUGAAGACAGGAGAAAAGACCGGCUUCAGUGACGAGGAAAUUAAAAGUAGGAAAAAAAGAAAAAGACAUAUGCCCUUCUACACGCGUGAAAGAGGAUCAACCCUAACAAUAUCAUCAUCGACCAAAGCAAGCAUCCUCCACAAUCUAAAACAACGAGAAGUAGAUUGAAUGAACAGAAAAGCCACCGAUGUAAAUUCAUAUAUAGAAGAUAAGUAACUGUGGUUAGGAGGAAGAAGGAACAAUUAGUAGUCCUGCUUUAUUCUUUUUGAAAUCGCAUCCAACUGUAACAUAGACGAGAGAGCUUUCCUCAAAACAUUUCAAAAUCUAUACAAGCUUAAAUAAUUGAUAGAACUGACAAUCUUUAAGACUACUUUAAUAGACAGAGUGGAGUAAUAAUCCAUCUUGGAAACAGCAAAAGAAGAACAAACCCAACUGUUACGAUCCGUCUUUCAUCUGGACGUGUGUAGACCGCAGAAGAACAGAGUGAGUUGAUUAGUUAAAGCAGAUCUGUAAAAAAUAGAAGACACAUCAUACCUCCCCCCACAAUAGCCAAUACUAUACAAAAAUAAUCCAUAGGCUAAAAAGAUUUAAUUUAACCAAGAACUAGGAAUCAUACGCAGAACAUCAUUCCCUUCCACAAAACGAAUUAUUUCUCGUAGACGCUCCAAAUAAAGUCAUCCUUAUUGUGUUUAAGAUAGAAACUAAAGUCAAGGUAACAUAGAAACACUGAAUACAAGGGUAACAAGAAUCUGCCAGAAAGGUAAACAAACCAUCCUUUUAGCAAAGAGGAAGCAGAGAAACCUAAAACCGGGAAGAAGAUUGAUCAGGAGCCAUCCAGAUUGCCUUUCUCUCUUCGAGCCUUAUUGUUCUAUACCAAAACGAAAACAUGUUUCGCUUAAGAAAGGGAAAAAAAAAGACCGGCUUGU
rnacentral:lncRNA from 1 species